CCUACGGGCGGCUGCAGUGGGGAAUAUUGGACAAUGGGCGAAAGCCUGAUCCAGCCAUGCCGCGUGUGUGAAGAAGGCCUUCGGGUUGUAAAGCACUUUCAGUGGGGAAGAAAGCCUUGGGGCUAAUACCCUCGAGGAAGGACAUCACCCACAGAAGAAGCACCGGCUAACCCCGUGCCAGCAGCCGCGGUAAUACGGAGGGUGCGAGCGUUAAUCGGAAUUACUGGGCGUAAAGCGCGCGUAGGCGGUCUGAUAAGCCGGUUGUGAAAGCCCCGGGCUCAACCUGGGAACGGCAUCCGGAACUGUCAGGCUAGAGUGCAGGAGAGGAAGGUAGAAUUCCCGGUGUAGCGGUGAAAUGCGUAGAGAUCGGGAGGAAUACCAGUGGCGAAGGCGGCCUUCUGGACUGACACUGACGCUGAGGUGCGAAAGCGUGGGUAGCAAACAGGAUUAGAUACCCGGGUAGUC
rnacentral:rRNA from 1 species